AUAAAAGCCGAAUCCAGCUCAGGAGCGGGGGAACCAAGUUUUGGGGUGAAUGAUGAGGCGGCAGCAGGACAGUGGGAGAAGACCGCUUUCCAGCCGCAUCAAAAAGGGUGUUCUCUUCCCUAACCCGGCAGCUAACCUCGUAGGCGAAAUCAGAGAGGG
rnacentral:sRNA from 1 species